rnacentral:rRNA from 1 species
GAUGAACGCUGGCGGCGUGCCUAAUACAUGCAAGUCGAGCGAACGGACGAGAAGCUUGCUUCUCUGAUGUUGGCGGCGGACGGGUGAGUAACACGUGGAUAACCUACCUAUAAGUCUGGGAUAACUUCGGGAAACCGGAGCUAAUACCGGAUAAUAUUUUGAACCGCAUGGUUCAAAAGUGAAAGACGGUCUUGCUGUCACUUAUAGAUGGAUCCGCGCUGCAUUAGCUAGUUGGUAAGGUAACGGCUUACCAAGGCAACGAUGCAUAGCCGACCUGAGAGGGGGAUCGGCCACACUGAAAGUGGGAAAGGGUCCAGGCCCCUACGGGAGGCAGCAGUAGGGAAUUUUCCGCAAGGGGCGAAAGCCUGAGGGAGCAACCCCGCGUGAGUGAUGAAGGUUUUCGGAUCGUAAAACCUUGUUAUUAGGGAAGAAAAAAUGUGUAAGUAACUGUGACAAUUUUGACGGUACCUAAUCAAAAAGCCACGGCUAACUACGU